rnacentral:rRNA from 1 species
AGGAAAAGAAACUAACCAGGAUUCCCCUAGUAACUGCGAGUGAAGAGGGAAAAGCUCAAAUUUAAAAUCUGGCAGCCUCGCUGUCCGAGUUGUAAUUUAGAGAAGUGUUACCCGCGCUGGACCGUGUAUAAGUCUCCUGGAAUGGAGCGUCAUAGAGGGUGAGAAUCCCGUCUUUGACACGGACUACCAGGGCAUUGUGGUGCGCUCUCGAAGAGUCGAGUUGUUUGGGAAUGCAGCUCUAAAUGGGUGGUAAAUUCCAUCUAAAGCUAAAUAUUGGCGAGAGACCGAUAGCGAACAAGUACCGUGAGGGAAAGAUGAAAAGAACUUUGGAAAGAGAGUUAAACAGUACGUGAAAUUGCUGAAAGGGAAACGCUUGAAGUCAGUCGCGUUGGCCGGGGAUCAGCCUUGCUUCUUGUGAGGUGUACUUCCUGGUUGACGGGUCAGCAUCAGUUUCGACCAUUGGAGAAAGGCUUGGGGAAUGUGGCACUUCGGGUGUGUUAUAGCCCCUUGUCGUAUACAGUGGUUGGGACUGAGGAGCUCAGCACGCCGCAAGGCCGGGUUUCGACCACGUUCGUGCUUAGGAUGCUGGCAAAAUGGCUUUAAGCGACCCGUCUUGAAACACGGACCAAGGAGUCUAACAUGCUUGCGAGUGUUUGGGUGGAAAACCCGAGCGCGUAAUGAAAGUGAAAGUUGGGAUCUCUGUCGUGGAGAGCACCGACGCCCGGACCUGAUGUUUACUGACGGAUCUGCGGUAGAGCACGUAUGUUGGGACCCGAAAGAUGGUGAACUAUGCCUGAAUAGGGUGAAGCCAGAGGAAACUCUGGUGGAGGCUCGUAGCGAUUCUGACGUGCAAAUCGAUCGUCAAAUUUGGGUAUAGGGGCGAAAGAACU